GGGCCCGCACAAGCGGUGGAGUAUGUGGUUUAAUUCGACGCAACGCGCAGAACCUUACCCGGCCUUGACAUCCUUGGAAUCCUUCCGAAAAGAAGGAGUGUCCCCUCACGGGGAAGCCAAGUGACAGGUGCUGCAUGGCUGUCGUCAGCUCGUGUCGUGAGAUGUUCGGUUAAGUCCGGCAACGAGCGCAACCCCUGUCGUUAGUUGCCAUCAAUUCGGUUGGCACUCUAGCGAGACUCCCGGUGUUAAACCGGCGGAAGAUGGGGAUGACGUCAAGUCCUCAUGGCCCUUAUGACUGGGGCUACACACGUACUACAAUGGCAUCUACAAAGGGUCGCGAGAUCGCGAGAUGGAGCCAAUCCCAAAAAGAUGCCUCAGUUCGGAUUGUAGUCUGCAACUCGACUACAUGAAGUUGGAAUCGCUAGUAA
rnacentral:rRNA from 1 species